AUGAGAUUUCCCAUAACUUUAUGUUAGUAAGAGCCCUGAGAGAUGAUCAGGUAGAUAGGUUGGAAGUGGAAGUGUGGCGACACAUGUAGCGGACCAAUACUAAUCGCUCGAGGACUUAUCCAAAUU
rnacentral:rRNA from 1 species